AGGUCAAUUCAAAGAGGGCUUGUGGGACCAACACCAGGAGCUCUUCACACUGUGACCAAAUACUGAAGUUCUCCAUAGAUGUUAAUAGUCACUCGAUAGUGCUAUGCUUCCCUGAGAUUUAAGA